rnacentral:rRNA from 1 species
AACGGACGCUGGCGGCAGGCUUAACACAUGCAAGUCGAACGCAUCGCAAGAUGAGUGGCAGACGGGUAAGUAACGCGUGGGAACAUACCCUUUUCUACGGAAUAGCCCUGGGAAACUGGAAUUAAUACCGUAUACGCCCUACGGGGGAAAGAUUUAUCGGGGAAGGAUUGGCCCGCGUUGGAUUAGCUAGUUGGUGGGGUAAAGGCCUACCAAGGCGACGAUCCAUAGCUGGUCUGAGAGGAUGAUCAGCCACAUUGGGACUGAGACACGGCCCAAACUCCUACGGGAGGCAGCAGUGGGGAAUAUUGGACAAUGAGCGCAAGCCUGAUCCAGCCAUGCCGCGUGAGUGAUGAAGGCCUUAGGGUUGUAAAGCUCUUUCACCGAUGAAGAUAAUGACGGUAGUCGGAGAAGAAGCCCCGGCUAACUUCGUGCCAGCAGCCGCAGUAAGAC